UGCGCAGGCGGCUCUUUAAGACAGGUGUGAAAUCCCCGGGCUUAACCUGGGAAUUGCGCUUGUGACUGGGGAGCUUGAGUGCGGCAGAGGGGGAUGGAAUUCCUGGUGUAGCAGUGAAAUGCGUAGAUAUCAGGAGGAACACCGAUGGCGAAGGCAGUCCCCUGGGUCGACACUGACGCUCAGGCACGAAAGCGUGGGGAGCAAACA
rnacentral:rRNA from 1 species